rnacentral:tRNA from 1 species
CAAAAGAUAGUUUAUUAAAACCCUAACUUUGGGAGUUAAAGAUCAACUUUGUUGUCUUUUGA